rnacentral:rRNA from 1 species
UACGUAGGAUCCAAGCGUUGUCCGGAAUUACUGGGUGUAAAGGGUGCGCAGGCGGACUUGUGCGUCAGAGGUUAAAUACUUCGGCUCAACCGGAGAAAUGCCUUUGAUACGGCGAGUCUUGAGUGCGAGAGAGGAUGGUAGAAUUCCUGGUGUAGCGGUGAAAUGCGUAGAUAUCAGGAGGAAUACCCGUGGCGAAGGCGGCCAUCUGGCUCGCAACUGACGCUCAGGCACGAAAGCGUGGGGAU